AAAGGCAGGGUAAGAGCCUACCGACGGACGGGUAACCGUUCGGGCUGACAAACCUCACGCGGAGCAAAACUAAAUAGGAAAGGGUUGAGGUUGCUCGCUGACCUUUCGGGUAAGUUGCUUAGACUUGAGCGGCGACGUUCAAGCAAGAUAAAUGAUUGCCGUUACACAGAAUCCGGCUUAUUGACUGCCUGUCGAC
rnacentral:RNase_P_RNA from 1 species